UUCACACUAUUUUCUCAGCCUUCAAUGUCCUCCCAUUUGAUGAUUUCCAACUUUUGGCGCUAUGUUCCCACAGCACAUUUAUUGUGCAUACUUCUUGUGGAGAACUCAUUUCAUUCUGUGAGUGCAUUACUGAAAAUUUUUUUUUAAUUCAAUACCUCUGUGCAUUACUGGAAUUUAAGCUCCUUGAGAGCAAAAGCUUUCUCUGUCAUCUGCUUUCCCUACACAAUGCUGCAAAGGGCCUAGAAGGCACAAAAUAGACUUGGUCCCUGUUGAAAGAAGAAAACCAUUAGCUGAAUUAUUUAAUAUUUGUUCACUGGGAACACUGAAGUUCUUGUAUGUAUAGUGAGUGCUGUAAUGCUGAAUUCUGUAGACAGAAAUGCAGAGGAGAAAGAAGUGAAUGACAUCAGAAUUGAAGAUACCAGCCCCUUUGAGGAGCCAUUCACCUGAUAGUCAAAGCCACACUCUAACCAAGUGAGAUACAGUCAAGAGGAGGGCUUAGCAUUAAACAUGAGCCAUGGCUACACUGAAGUAGCAGGAGAAUGGAGGGUGCAAGUUGCUGAGGAGGAGAGGCAGGCAACAGGGUGAACUGACACAGUGGAGACUUGAGAGGGGAAAAUAUUCAAGAUUGCAGAAGUGGUCAAUAAUAUCUAAUAAUGAAGAAAGAUCAGGAAGGAUGAGAGAUGAGAACAAGAAGCAAGGUCAUUAGAGGUUGAUUAUCUUGUUUUUCCACUUUUUUUUACAUGGUUAAAUCUUCUCUGUGAUCUUCAGUUAUUUAAAACUAUGAAUAUUUAGAUAAACAAAACCUCUGGCCAGCCUGGGUACCUGCUGAGAUAGGUCAAUUAGCAUACUUGAAAGUUCAGUCAUGUGCAUGGAAAUGGAUGGUAAAAGGAUUUUUAAAAUUAAUCUGGCAUUUCAAUCCAUCUCAAUCCCCAGAAAAGUUGCUUUCAUAAAUUAAACAUUCCAUUUGUAUUCCUUAUAGGGUAACUAUCUAAUCAUCUUCAAGGGUAAAAAGUCUAGUUAUCAAGAAAAAAAAUCAGGUAAAAUAUCACAGGGGAGUUCUUCGCCUAUUUGUGUUUAAGUACAGCCUGCUGUUUAAAAAAAAAGAAAUUCUGAGGAUUUAGAAAACCCCAUGAAAUCAUAUUGUAGUCAUAUGUGAAGGCAAAAACAUUCACAUAUCACUCCAGUAUAUCCUAAAUCAUAGUGGCACAUGAUGAAAGAGUCUCCAUCUGGUGUUCACACUGAUUCUUUGGCAGUUUUCCAAGGGCAAGAAGAUACUUCUGACUUUCUGGAAUAAGGUAUACUUAAGCUUGCAGUUAUAUCACUGACUGGCUAACAAGAUUGUAUUGAUUUUCUCUAAAAUACUUUGGACUGAGAGGAAAUUCUUCAGUACCACAGAUACAAGAUGUUUCAGAACAAAGACCUUUGCUAAGUGAGAAAACUCCAGAUCUAGAAGGAAACUGUGUCGUACACAUCAGUGUUUCUCAAACCAUCUAUGGUGAAGGACCAUUUUCUCCCCGAUCCAUCAUGAUCUAAUGCUAUUGAAAAAUACACUAAACAAGAUAACUAAUUUUAAAAAGAGUUGGGGCUCAAAAUGGUGGAGUAGGAAGGCAAGACAGAAUCCUCCUUCCACACACACUCAAAGGAAGCAAAUACAACUAAAACUGAAAACAAACUGAAGACUGCAGAACAGACCACCUAUACCUGGAAGAGAAGACCAUACAGAAACAGGUGAUCCAGCCUCUGACACAAAAAGGAAACAGAAGCCAUUAACCAAAAACUCCAAGUUCCCUGUCCUCCCCUGUCCUGCUGUCUACAGUGUGAUGAUGAAUGGUACUCAGGAAAUCCAUAGUUCUGCAAGAGAACAAUCCUGUGUGUUAAAGGGAAAAACCCUGCCAAGAAAUCUGGAAGUGGAGAGGGCGAAAGUUAAUCAUCCCAUCAACCAGACUGAAAUGUUUCCUUCCCUUUAGCAAAGUCAGCUCUCAGCAAGAGUCUAAGGAAGGAGCUGCCACACCACUGUACCUGCAAGUCUAUGUAAUAAAGGAUCUUAGAAGGAAUCAGGCCAAAUUAGAGUUUGGGCAUUUCCUUCAAAUUUCUUACAUCCCUGCCUUUGUGUUUCCUGUUUUUCACCCUUUCAUUCAUUCAUUUGACAGAUAUUCGUUGAGACUGUCUAUGUGCCAACAUUCAUUCAGACAGUGUAAACAGAGGUGAUUUAAAAAGAGUCAAAAAUCCUGUCCUCACAAAGCUUACAUUCUUCAGGGAGUAAGUGAAAUAUAUAAAUAAAUGCAUGGUGCGAUCCAAGGGGAUGUUUGCUAGGCAAAAGAAGAGGGGUUGGGGAGUAUACAGGUAAGGAGGGGAGUUGAUGAAAUUACAAAUAGGAGAGUGAGAGAAGACCUAUGUGAUAAUGUGAGUGGGUCUCCAAGGAGAAGAGGAAGUUGGUCAUGCAAAUAGCUGUGAGAAGGCCAUUACAAGCAGAGGGAAAAGCCAGUGCAAAGGCCCUACGGCAGGAGCCAGCCUGCUACAUUUAAGCAACAACGAACGCAGUGUGGCAGAAGCAGAGUGGGAAGAAAAGUGGGAACAAAAGAGGUCAGAGUGCUAACAGAACCCACACCACCACAGUUUUGUCAGGCAUUGUAAUUAGUUUGGCUUUUCCUGGGGGUAAGAAGGAAAUUCAUUGGAUAAUUCUGAGGAGAGACACGACAGGUGAAAUACGUAGUACGCCAGAUAUCAAAAAGUACUAUGGAGAAAAUGAGGGAAAGAAGUGGUGAUACGAUGGGGGAGGGACUUUGUGGUGGUUAUUUUGCUCUUCUCCAUCUUCUUUGCCCUAUUUUAACUCAACUGACUUUCCCAGGCUCAGCUCAAGAUGGCAUUCCUUCAGGAAGCCUUCUC